ACAUACUUCUUCAUAUGCCCAUAUGGAGCCGGCCGGUGCUAUGGAAUGUUAAGAAGUAUGUAU
rnacentral:pre_miRNA from 1 species